GCUGAAGAUCUGUAGUUCUUGUAAGUUCCCAGGUGUUGCUGAUGCUGCUGGCCUGUUGGGGGCGGGGGAUGCAGGUCACAUUUCGAGAACCAGUGAUGGAGAGCAGUUGCUGGCAAAUGAUAAGUGCACUAUGAUUAUUUCUGGAUGCAUGAAUUCAUGAUUGAAGAUGGAGAACCGUGGUCAAGUAGAGUCAACAGUGAAAGUCUUCUGGAAAGGCGGUUAGACUUCCAAACAACAUGGAGCAUUUGAGGAGCUUGAAGUGAAAAGAUUUCCCUGGAUUUACAGUGGGCACACGGCUGAAAGCCUGGAUUUUGCAUUUUUCGGCGGAAGGGGUGGCAUCUUUUAUAGACUCAUCACAGAAAUAAAAGAGGAAG
ensembl:lincRNA